GGGAACUGGUAUUGAUAUGUAAAAUAAUAUUGUUUCUAAUUUAAAUAAAUAUGUUUUAAAAAUCAAAAUUUCUACACAAGGACCACAUAUAUAAUGAAGAUGGCAUGCAGCAUUGUAGAAAGUUAAAGGAAUAGUCUGAAGGCAGGUAUAGUAACUUAAACAUGCUUAUUCUGUAUGACAUAACCACAAGAUUAUAUCCUAGAAGACACUAUAUUAUGUUAUGUUAUAUUAUAUUAUAUUAUAUUAUAUUAUAUUAUAUCAGUUAACAGAAAUACUUUUAGGUACACCAGUAUCUUUCAGAAGUGGUGUUUCGGCUAUUCUCAGAAUCAAGUGUUAAAAAUAUAUAUUUUGGGUGGUUCCACAAUAUUUAGAUAUAAAUGAGUGAUAAAAUUCUGACUUUAUGGAGGUGAGGUAUCAGCAGUUACCAUUUAAGAUCAAGGUGAAUCUAAUCAUCAUAGAAGACAAAGGGAAUUCAUAACACACUGCAAAUUUGGCAUGCCAGAGUCUAAAGAAGUCAUAAACUAUGGUACUUUCAGGAAAGUUUCAAUGAACAAUUAAUAAGUCAGAAGCUUGUGAUGAAAGAUAUAGUGUUUACUGUCAUAGAUAUAAUUCAUUAAUCCUUUACCAGAUCUGAGUCCCAAAGACCCAUAAUCAUUAAGAAGUAUUCUGUGACUCCUAACACAGGUCUACCACUGUGAACAAUAAUAUAUAACAUUUCUCACAUUCUUCCUUAAAAGAGAGUAUACUCCUAGAGUAGAAAAACAACAUAGAUGAAAGUGAAUAUUUAGAUAUUUUGAAGGAUCCUAGAAUGUAUAUUUCUCCUUCAGUCAUAAGUAUGAAAAGCCACUGUGGACUCACUGUCAGAGUACAAGAUUCUAGAUCAUAGACUAUUGGUGCAGGCUUGACUUACACUGAUCUUUAUGAAAGCCUAAGGCUACCAUGGAAACAACCUAGAAAAAAGAGAAAAUGUUAAAAUGUUUGCUCACGCACCAAACAUACCUGAAAACAUGUUCAGGGCCCAGUUAGACAUAAGAAGCAUAUACCCCUGUGCUUUAUGGUAAAUACUCAAUGCAUGGCUGACUUCAUUCUUCCCACAAUGAGGCUAUAACAUUCAUAUUAUAUUCACAAGCCUUGACACUUCAUAAACUGCAACUGGUGUCUUGAAUUCUUUAUAUAUUUUGAAAAUGAGCCCUCUGUCACGUGUGGGGUUGGUGCAGAUCCUUUCCUAUUUUGAUGCCUGCCACUUUUUAUUGAUGGUGGCCUUUGUCUUAAAGAAACUCUUCAUUUUUAUGAGGACCCAUUUAUCAAUUUUAGAUCUUAUUACCUGUGCUAUUGGUAUUCUCGUCAGGAAGUUGUCUCCUGUGCCAAUCCAUUCAAGGCUACUUUCCAGUUUCUCUUCUGUCAGGUUCAGUGUAUCUGGAUUUAUGUUGAGGCCAUUGAUUUACUUGACUUGAGUUUUGUUCAUGGUGAUACACAUGGAUCUAUUUGCAUCAUUUAGCAUGUGUAUAUCCAGUUAAACCAGUGCCAAUUUUUGAACAUGAUUUCUUUUGUAUUGUAUAAUUUUGGAUUCUUUGUCAAAAACAGCUACCUAUAGGUGUGUGGAUUUAUGUCUAGGUCUUUGAUUCAUUUUCAUGAACCUAUCUGUCUGUUUUUUUGCUAAUACUGUGCAGUUUUUAUUUCUAAAUCUCUGUAGAGUUGCUUGAAAUCAUUGAUGGUUCUACCUCUCAAAGUUCUUUUAUUGUACAGGAUAAUUUUAGGAGGAAACUAGAUAUAAACAAACCAAAUAAUCCAGUUUUAAAAUGGGGUACAAAUUUAAACAGAAUUCUCAAGCAUCUCAAAUGCCCUAUAAACAUUUAAGGAAAUGCUCAACAUCCUUAGCCAUUAGUAAAGUGCAAAUCAAAAUGAUGAGAUUUUCAUCUUAUAUCUAUCAGAAUGGCUAAGAUCAAAAACAUAAGUGACAUCUCAUGCUAGGGAGGAUGUGGAUCAAGGGGGACUCUCCUCCAUUGCUGGUGGGAGUACAAAUUUGAACAGUAACUUUGGAAGUCACUGUAGUGGUUUCUCAGAAAACUGGGAAUUAUUUUACUACAAGACCCAGAUAUACCAUCCUUGGGGCAUAUACACAAAGGAUGCUCAAUCAUGCCACAAGAACAUUUGUUCAACUAAGUUCAUAGCAGCUUAAUUCAUAAUAGCUAGAACCUAGAUAUCACAUAACCAAGGAAUGGAUAAAAAUGGGCUACAUUUACACAAUAGAGUAUUUCCCAACAGUUAAAAACAAGGACAGCAGAACAUCUUUAAGCCAAUGGAUAGAACAAGAAAAAAAUCAUUCUGAAUGAGGUAACUGAGACCAAGAAAGUCAAACAUAAUAUGUACUCAUUCAUAAAUGGAUAUUAGCUGUAAAAUAAAGUAUAACUAUGCUACAAUCCAUAGACCCAGAAAAACUAUGUAAUAAGGUUGUUUCAUGGGGGGAUGUCCAUAUCACCACAGAAUGGGGAAAUAGAAUGUAUUUCAUCAGUGGGGUGAGGGCAGGUGAUUAUGGGAACAUGAGCAAGCUGAUUAAGGGAAAAUGGAGCAGGAGAGUAAAGAAUGAGACUACUGGAAAGGGGGAUCACUUAGGGUGAGGUAAGAAACCUGGAGUAAGGGAAUGCCCAUGAAUCAAAGGUAGUUUCCUAACAUGAGUUCAUACAUUACCACAAGAGUCAAAAUGAAAUCUCCAUAGUCAGAUUAUUGGAGCCCAAAUACAGGACCCUCCUACAGUAGAUUCAUUGUUCCUCAUACAUCUGUAUAUUGUUCAAUGUGGACACUAGAAUGUUUCAGACAAAAAUCACCCUAAUUGAAAGUUUUGGGAACUAAAGUACAUUCUGUGAUUUCUAGUACUCAGCAUCACAGGGUCUUGUUUAACCUCUCAUCUUAUGUUGAGGGCAAACAAGCCACAUAGUAUUGAUGGUACUGAAGGCUUCCCAGCUGGAGUUAUCUGAGAAGUUUUCCAACAGAUUCAAUGGCUUAAAUAUUAAAACAAAACAAGAUAAUGUUUUUACAGAUGAUUCUUUAGGCAUCAAUAACUUCCAUAAUUGGUAUGCAGAAGAAAAACAAGUUAGUUUUAGUAUAUGCAUCUCACUGAUACAUUUGUUACACUAACAAAAUAUCUUAUUCAAAUCUUAUUAAAGAAUUAUCUAUUUUUGAGGACAAAUAAAUAUGCCCAAUGGAAUUAAUGUACCAAUAGAGAAAACAACAAUCAAUAAACCAUAUGAAUUCUCAUAAAGACAUAUGCACCCAUAUAUGAGCACAUGUACUUAUCAUCUAUGUGUCCAUCUGCCUGUCUAUCUAUCUAUAUCUAUAUGUCCUUUCACUAUAUUUCUUUGUGUAUGCAUGCUUCCCUUUUCAGAUUUCAUCUUUAAGCUUUAUUUUUUAUGGAAAAUUUCAAGGGUUGACAUUUAGACAGAAUGUAAAGAGGUAUUAUUAACUAAGUAGAGGAGAUAGUUAUAAAUAGAGCUUUAAAUGUUGAUUGGAUUUUGUGGAGUUAAUGAAUACCAAGUUAACAAAUAAUAGUAAUACUGAUUGGAUUAAAGAACUAGAAAUGAGAGGUGGAGGGAAUGAAUAUAGAGGAGGGAUAAGAAUAUGCAAGAUCUUAGAACAACUGCAAUAUUUUCUAUUUUCUGUUAUUUUAAUUGAAAUUCAUUGGCUGUACUGAUAUGGCAAGUACUAAACCAACCUGGUUUGAAAUUUCAGAUUGAUGUUUUCAUUAUGUGUAGAGAUUAAGAUGUUAGCAAACAGCGAAGAGAGAGACUGGUGAAGUACACUUUUGUGAUGGGGCUAUCCAAUGGCAUCAGAAUGAAAUGCUGAGACAUUUGUGCAAUAAAAACAGUUCAUAAUUAUUUUUUAUUCUACACUAUACAUGUAUAUAAGUUACAACAAUAUUUCUUAAUGUCUACUCAAUAUAAUCUCAUACAAAUCUAUGAGUUCCAAUGCUUCAUUUAAAUAACAGAAAGUGAGAUUCUAAAAGGAACAACUAAAAGCAGUCACUAGUGGCCAUAACAUAACAGAGAAAAUAAAAGUCUACAAUUAAAAAUGUUGAAUUCCAAUAACAGGAAGAUAUUUCCAUCUUCAGGAAAAUAUCUUAACCUUUAAACAUUGUCAAAUUUCUAAAGUCAUAAGCCAUAUUUCAAAGUAUGGGCUAACAAGAAGGCAAUGUUAGAAUCAUUUCCAAACAAUGACAAAGCACAAAAUCGCAUGUGAUAUAUGGUUUUUCUUUAAAUAUUUUCAAUGAAGAUGGCUAACGUGGAGGGAAUUAGCCAGUCUGAAAUACAAUUUACAGAUAUUGAAUAAUCAUUCUCUCCUUGUAGAUGAUAUAUCUCACUGUAUCCUGCCAGCCAUUAAUCACUUUUAUGGAAUUACAAUUUGGUUUCCACUAACUGUGAUUUACUUAGUGUGGGUUGAUUUAUGUCAUGGAGAAUUUGUUUAGUUAAUGGAACAUUUUAAUUUAUGACAGAAGGAAGCUUUGGAUAUCUCAAUUGCAUUACUAUUGACUGUCAUUCAAAAUUUUCAAUGAGAUGAACAGAGAUAGAAGCAUGUUGUUUCAGUUACACCUAGUACUGGUAGAGCACAGGUUGGGAACUAAAACCAUGAGAAAACAGCUCCAUUUAUAUUUGCUUUUCACAACUUUGAACUUACUAUUGCACUUAUUACUGACAUAUGGUCUUGUCUGUUAAGUCUUUCAGCGAAGGCUUACUGGAAACCAGUGAGAGAUUUCAUAAUGUAGUGUCAUCAGAAUGCUGUUGGCAUCCAGCCCUGGGUCUCCUUUCAUCUGUCCAGAUGGUUCAGAUCCUGUACUCAUUCAGUGUUUUUCAGAGAUAAAGAAUAAAACACUGUCACUACUGGUCUACAGUGCUGAUUUCAGCACAACAUUUGUGGUUCAAGAAGGCCAGCAACAAAUCCUCAUACAACUGGAGAGAAACUGUCAUUAUAUAAAUAGUUCCUUCUGGAGAUAGAAACAUGAAACCUGGAAUAAAAACAAGUUUAGAAGCUCAAAGGAAAUUGGUCAUCGGCCAUGGUGAAUGGAUGAAAGGCCCGAGCUAAUGGGGUUAGCUCAUUAAACAACUGCAAUAAAGCUUCUUGCUGUUUGCAUCAAAAGAAAGAAAAAAGAAAGAACUGAAGACUACUUUUGGUGUAAAACAGUUCCAGAAAGACAAGACUCAUCCUUGACAGAGAAGCAGGUGCUGCAACAGGAGCAAGAUGCUUAAGCCUCACAUCUAAAGCAUAAACAGGAAACCAUGGUGGAGAACAGAAUGUAGGCAAAGUUUUUUGAAAUAUAAAAGUCUUCUCCCAGGCAUGUGCUUCCUCCAUUAGGCACCACCACCUUAAUGUCUCCAAAAUAUGCCACCAUCUGGGGAUGGGGAAUGUCCUUUUGUAGAUAUGUUUUUCUUAUUUGUUGAUGAUAAAACACUGUUUGGCCAAUAGCCAGGCAAGAAGCAUAGGCAGAGCUACCAAACAAGAAGAAGGUUGGGGAGAGGAAGGCAGAGAGAGGCAGAGAAGAGAUGCCAUGCUUCUAAAGGAGUAACAUGCUGGAUUACUGGCAAGCCACAGCCUCCUGGCAAUGUAUAGAUUCACAUAAAUAGAUUAGUACUUAAGACAGAGCUAGCCAAUAAUAAACCUAAUCCAUUGGCUAACAGUUUAAUAAUCAAUAUGUCUCUGUGUGCUUAUCUGGGGCUAAAGCAUGGAGCAGGGCUUGGGGCACCUGGCGGGACAGAAUCCUCCAUCUUCAAAAUAGGGACCAAGUCUUCAAAUGCUACAUUGUAGGUUAUACUUGUGAUUCAAGUGAGCAAAGAGAGUAAAGGAUAUUUUGUGCUAGAAAAUCUUAAUAUUGUGUCUCAGAAUUUGUUGGAUGAAUAUAAAUCACUGCUUAGAGGGCAAAAUAGUUUUAAAUACACUAUUUACAAAUGAAUUAUAACAUAAAAGUUGAGGAAAGAGAAAUAAAGAACAUAACAAUACAUAUAUAUAUACAUACAUACAUCAUACAUACAUAUAUAUAUAUAUGUAUAUAUAUAUAUAUGUGAGAUAAAACACUAAAAAUGCCUCUUAGAAAAAUGAUGCAACUAUUAUAAGAGUGACUAUAAACAUAAGAAAUCAGAGUUAUGUAUAAUAAGAAGGUUGAUUUGAUUACCGUAGUCAUUAUAGACAGCACAAAUUCAAGAGAAGGUUAUAAAUGGAAAAGCAAAGAAAGAGAUAUCUUGAUAGAGAGACAUUAAGUGGUUAGGGAGAAACCUUGGAAUAGGGAAAUUCCCAGGAAUCCGUAAGCAUGAUCCCAGUUAAGAUGCCUACCAAUAGUGGAGAGGGUGCCUGAACUGGCCUUAUGUGUAAUCAGGUUGGUGAAUCCUCCAUCAUCAUACAGCCUAUAUCCAGUAAGUGAUAGAACCAGAUGCAGAAGAUCCGAAACCAAGCACCAGGCCAAGUUCCUGGAAUCCAGUUCAAAAGAGGGAGGAGGGAUUAUAUGAGCAAGGGAGAUCAAGAUCAUGACGGGGAAAUCUAAAGAGACAGCUGAACCGAGCUCAUGGGAACUCAUGAACUCUAGACCAACAGCCGUGGAGCCUCUGUGUGACUGAGCUAGCUUGUGGGAGCUCAUUCCCUAUGGUGGGAUGCCAUGCUCAGGCUUAAUCCAGGUGGGGAGGGGAUUGGUUUUACAUUAACU
ensembl:lncRNA